rnacentral:lncRNA from 10 species
GCCCACCAGUGUGCACUGUGAUAGGCACUGGGUGACAACGAUGAGUGUACCCUCAGGCCUGGUGAGGAGGUCCUUGGGAAGAACCUAAUAAGCAAGGCCAAAGGCCAUGGUGGCUGAGGAAUGGCCUGCAGGGGGAUGGGGAGUGGGCACAUGUGGCAAAUGAGGUCUGGGUUAAGACCAGACUGGGAAGGGAUUUAUUUGUCAUACCAUGGAGUCAGACUUUAUCUUAAAGGUAACAGGGUUUCUUAAUCUUGGAAUUUCAAAUGACCUGUGACUCCCCACAUCUGCAAACUUCUCCCCACACACAAAUGCAGAUGGUUUCAGUAUGUGUGCUUCUCUGGGAAGAAGGUCCACAGCUGUCACUGAGUCCUCAAUUCUUAACCCAAUACCUGUCAAGAACCAUUGCCACCGCAGGUUUCAAGAAGGAUGAACUAAUGCUCCGUGCACCUUGGCUCAGCAGCACUCACAUCCCAGGACCAGGAUCUGCACACCUGGCCCUUUAUGGAGCAGUUCUACCUUAGAGAACAGGCAGUGGAGACGCACGGCAAGAGGCAGAAGUGUGGACUGAGAAGGACGCAGCACAAGGGCAGCAGAGGUCAAGAACAUUCACAGGAGACGGGGUUUCGCCACAUUGUCCAGGCUGGUCUCAAACUCCUGAGCUCAAAGUGAUCUGCCUGCCUCGGCCUCCCAAAGUGCUGGGAUUACAGGCAUGAGCCACCACGCCCGGCCUGCGGCCAUUCCUUUCUAACACUACACGAGAUGGGGCUGUGUUUAAACACGAAGCUGCUCCCUGGUAGCCACUUCCCUGGUGCAGAAGCUGGGAAGGUUUGGGCAGACUUUGUUCCUGAUGGCAGAAAAAACUGUCACAAGCAAGACUGGCCCGAGUGGUCACAUGGGUUGGUGUCACUCUACAAUUAAAGAGGAAAACUUCCCACGCAUUGCCUUCGACCAGUGUGCACCAGCACCGCCUGGAACUUAUAAGAAGUGCAAAUUCUCAGGCCCCAGCCAGAUCUACCCAAUCAGAAACUCUGGGAGUGGGGCUCGAAAUCCUUGCCUUAACUAGUGCUCAGGAGUGAGAAACACCACCUUGAGGCAUGAGGUUUAAUGCUUUGAACCCUGGCCCUUAGUACCAGUUACUGCCUCUCUCCUCUACUGACUUAGCCACUGCAGUGGGCGAAUGACCUCCCUAAACCUCACCCCACACUGCUUUCCGCUCCUUCCCCUCUCCAUCCUCUCACUGCCUCUUCUUUCCUUCCCAACCUUUCCACUGUGAGCUCUGAUCCUCAAGGCAUGCUAAACAAACUGUUCUAUAUCUUCCCACCCUUCACAGCUCACUCACUCUGCCAUCUUUAACUUACACAAGUUCCUGGGCCCUCAGCCCUCCUGCAGGGCCUGCCGAGCCCCUCACCCCACACAGCUGGGGAAGAUGGGAAAGCUACCUUCCUGGCUCCCUGAUCCUGCUUCCAGACCUUUCCAGUUUCUCCUUGCAAUAGAAAACCACUGGAUGUUUUGAAGAAAAUGCUUAUAAUAAUUGAAAAAACACGUAAAAUAAGAUCCUAUGCAUGAAAACACGCCACACAUAUAUACAGAAAAAGAUGAAUAUACCGAGAUUGUUAAUAGUAGCCAUUUCUAGAUGGUGAGACAAUGUAUGAUUUUUGCUUGAUAUUAGACUUUGCAAAGUGACUAUAAUAUAUUUUAGUGGCUGCUCUCUUAAACAACCUCCACCUCACCUUAUUGACUUCCGGGACUUAAGAUGACAUUCUCCUUUCCCUCGGUGGAACCUGAUUGCUGACCUACUCUCUGGCUGCCCUUGAACUUCUGCUCCCACCAGCUGAAUCUAAUGUUUCACAGGGGUCAGGUGUGUUUACUCGCCAAGCAGUUUAUUUAAGUUGUACUUGAUACUAUGUUCCAUAACUUAUUUAAACAUUACGCUUGUGAAAUAUGACUGUGUAAAGCAAAAGUUUUUAUGAAAACUAAGUUGAAUACUUUGAAAGACUCAAGUUUGCGUUGGAAAAAAAAUGCUGUUGGCAAGUCAACUGUAAAAGAUUAGGAAAGAGUAUGAAACACUGGAAAGAUUUUGUGUAUGCACUGCUCAUAAGAUCUUAAUCCACUGUCUUAGUCAAUUCAGCUCCUAGAACAAAGGACCACAGACUGGGUGACUUAUUAAAGAGGUACUUGUCACAGUUCGAAAGGCUGAAAGCCUGAGGAUCAGGGCGCAGUACAGGGGGGUUCUAGCGGAGUCCUCUUCCAGGCUGCUGACGGCUGGCUUCUUGUUGUACCCCCAACAUGGCAGAAAGAGGGUAAGAGAGCUCCCUGGAGCCCUUUUAAUAAGCUCACUAUUCCAAACAUUAGGGCUCCAGCCUCAUCACCUAAUUACCUCUUACAAGCUCCAACUCCAAAUAUCAUCACACUGGGCACUACGGUUGCAACAUAUGAACUUGGGGAAACACAAACAUUCAGUCCACUGCAUCUACUUUAAAGGAACCAAAACGGCCUGAGCACAGUGGUUCAUUCUUGUAAUCCCGACACUUUGGGAGGCUCAGGCAGGAGGACUGCUUGAGCCCAGGAGUUCAAGACCAGCCUGGGCAACAUAGUGGAGCCCUAUCUCUACAAAAAAAAUGUGUAAAAAAAGAAAGCACAAUGCAAAAUUGCAGGUAAAGCUUUAAAGGUAUAGUUUUUGUAAGAAAAGUGAGGAAGAUUUGAAGUUAGUGAAUGCACACUCGAAGAAAAGGCCUGGCCUUCUUCCAGAAGUCCAGCG